rnacentral:tRNA from 2 species
GGCUUGUUAGCUCAGCUGGUUAGAGCGUCGUGCUAAUAACGCGAAGGUCGUGGGUUCGAUCCCCUCACGAGCCA